rnacentral:lncRNA from 1 species
UUGGACUUCUUGUUAUUUCCAGGAGGGGUGGGCUUCUGCUUGGACUUCUUCUUCUUGGGCUUGGCGGCGAGGUUGGGGAGGUCUUUGUGAGGGGCAUUGGGCUUGCCACUGCCGCUGGUUUUGGAAGCUUUCCUCAUUUUUGGAAUGGCGAUCGAAACUGUCGCCGGUGAGUUACUCCACAAACUGAUUUGAAUUGGCUAGGAAUGUUUUGGUUUUGGAUUAUGAACGAUGAUGAUUCGUUUCUGAGUUCCUAUGGUUAAACCUGCUCUGAUACCAUGUUGAAACAUUGUAUCAUCAUAAUGCACAGAGAAAGAGAAGCUAAAGAUUGUAAUUGUAUUUCUUGUUAUUUCCUGCUGAUACAAUCAUCCCUUUUAUAGUAUUAAGAAGGGAGCUGAUAUUCAAUAUUACUUCUACAACAUCAUGAGGAUUCCUACAACAUCAUGAGGAUCCCUAUAAUUAAGGGAUCCUUGAUUAUCUUUUGACUAACUUUAUCUUUUGACUAACUUUAUUUGUCUGCUGACUUUUUAUUCUCAACAACUUCUCUCUCUUGUAGAGAACGUUGUAGCUGAUAAUGGUGGUAAACCAUACACCAACGAUCUUUUCCAACAGCUCAAGGUGAGUGAAUUGUAUAUUGGAGUAAACUUUAAUUCGCGCGCGCGUGUGUGUAUUAGUAGAUGUUGGUGGUUAUGUUUAUGCAGAAAGAUGAGAUUGAUGAAGCUACACAAGGGAAAUCUAGUGAGGAGAAGCCGGGUGGGGAGCAGUUUGAUCGGUUUAUUGAGAUGGUAAUGUGACUUUUAUCCCAAGAAGUAUAUUCUGAAAAAAUUGUGAGAUGCAUAUGUGAAUGAUGGCUGAUUGAUUGAAGGUUGAGGUGAGGUUGAAGCAGAGUAUUGCGAAUCUGGAAAAUAUGUUGGCGGAGGAGAGAGCUGCUCGAGCUGCGGCAGAAUUGAAGGUGCUGGAAGCGCAGGCGA